rnacentral:misc_RNA from 1 species
GAUGAAGAACGUAGCGAAAUGCGAUAAGUAAUGUGAAUUGCAGAAUUCAGUGAAUCAUCGAAUCUUUGAACGCACAUUGCGCCCGCCAGUAUUCUGGCGGGCAUGCCUGUUCGAGCGUCAUUUCAACCCUCAGGACCCUUUGGACCUGGUGUUGGGGCUCGGCCGCUACCCCGCGGCCGUCCCCGAAAGAUAGUGGCGGUCUCGCUGUAGCGUCCUCUGCGUAGUAAUUACACCUCGCACUGGAACGCGGCGCGGCCACGUCGUUAAACACCCCACUUCUCAAGGUUGACCUCGGAUCAGGUAGGAAUACCCGCUGAACUUAAGCAUAUCAAUAAGCGGAGGA